GCUCAGAAACAUGGAAAUGUAGCCAAAGGUGAGUCUGCUUCUUCAGAACCUUCAGAACCUUCAGAACCCUCUCACCCGCAAGUGCGGGUUAAAGUUUGACUGGGUUCAGCUGUUGCUUUGACCUCACGGACACGCCCACGCGGGCCGUGCCCUGUGGUCUGCGUGGCAGUUCUAAGCGGCGAGUCUGAAAGAUAAUAUUUGGUUUGUCCUCAUCUGUUAUCCUCGGGCUCUUUCUGUGCUUAAAAAGGCGAGAUGUAGCUUGGCAGAGUUCUAUGCUGACCAAGCAGACCCUAGCGUCCUUGGGUCAUUUAACUGAAGGGGACUUUGGCUGCUACAGCCGUACAAGUGACUCUGGACGUUUCCACCUGGAGGGGACCUGGUGGGGGCCAUGCACCUCUGUGUUCCCUGCGUCUCACAUGGCUCCUCUCCAGGAGGGAGAACCCCAGCUUCACCCACAUUCACUUCCUGAGACGUGACUGGUCCUCACGCAGCUCAGAAUGACCCAGAGUUUGAACCUGCGGCUUCUGGGUGCAAAGCGAAUUCUGUAAUAACACAACAAUACGCUCCUGGGAAGGACAGGUGGCUGUGCUUCUCUGCAGGAAGAUGUGGUCACGCCAGUGAUGUACACUCCCCCCGCCGUCCGAGUCUCCCAGACAGACAGAGGGGAAACGUAACAGCGAGACUUUGAAGAGGAGUGCGUGUCUGUCUGUUUGAAGGAUCGCUGCUGGUCACCCCACCGCUGCCUAAAGGGGUCCUGAGAGCAGCGACCCGCGGAAAGAAUGCUGAGAAGCCCACGCACGCUCAGACGCUGGUGAGACGCGUUUAAAGUAAAAACGACACUCCCGUGAGGCGGAACGCGGGUCUGCCCUCCACCAUUGCUCAUCCGGACACGGGAAGCGAACAACCCCCUCCCCCGAGUCCCCCCUCACAAGGACGAAGACAAAGAAAAUUCCUCAACGGCCCAAACCCCGAAAUACCCCGGCCCACGUGCCCGGGCGCGGCCCGGCCUCCGGCUGGCGGGCCUCCGGGGCGCUCCGACGGGCCGCUGGUCCUCGCCCCGUCCCCACGCCGUCCCCCAGGGAUUCGGAGCUGUGCGGCACUCCCUUCCUUCAGCCGCUCCUGGGUGCGUGAAAGACACAGGGCAGGCGGACACAGAGAACCGGCCGGCGGAACCCCCAAAUGGAGCCUUCCUCCAAUUUAAACUUCCUUUUUUGUUUGAGGGAUUCAAGAUUAAUUUGUCAGAAAGUCAUAAAUUCCCAAUCCAGAUUCAGCCAAGGGGCCUGCAGUUUUUUGUUUUUUGUUUUUUUGGCUGCUGUCUUUUCUGACAGAGCUGAGCAUCUCCUCAGGGCAAGAGGCACUGGGCAGGUGCUCCAGGGGACACGUGUGACAUUCCCGAGAAGCCCUCCGUCUUCACAAGGCGCUGCGAGCUGCGAGCGAGGCGGGACGAAGCCCGCGCACCGCGGUCGCAUUCUGAACAGUUCUCGGCGCCCAGGAGGACCGUGGCGGCUGGAACUGCUCUCCUUACGUGGCUGCCUGCUGGCGGCUCCUACCUUCCCCCAGCGUUCUCGGCAGAGAAGGGGCAGUGUUGUGUGCUACAGGGCUGUCCGGGCCGGUCUGGUCGCCACGACGCCACAGGCUGCACCUGGGUCCUCCAGAGCCUCGAGGGCAGCCAAGUGGGGGUGGUGCACAGACUGUCUCACUCUCUUGUAGGGAGAACGUACAACUUAUGCUAUUUACAAAAAUUAGAUUAUGAUUUUAGCAGAAAGCUUUAGUUUUAGCCCACAUUUUACCAACCAGAAAACUCUAGAAACUGGUAUUUUGGAUUUCCAGAUCACAUAUUUAAUUUAGCCACAAUGACAGAAGCCCAAGGCACGUGCAGAGAGCACCAGACUGGGUUGUAGGUCAUUGUCGCUGUCCGCCAUUGUCGAUGGCUGAGGGUAAGCCUACCAGUUCUCUGCCUAAGUUGUUGCAGAUGCUGCCAGCUUAAUGCUUCUGUUUAUUUCUUUGAUUUAACUUUUGGUGACUGUCGCUUCCUUUCUCACCCUCUGCUUUCUUCCUUCCCUACCUCCCUCCUUCACCAAAUGCUACGUACAACCCCAACUCUAGUUUCCAAACACUGAGUGCCCAGAGCUUUCGUUCCAGUGUGUUUCCUGUCCCACAUUACUAAAGGUGGGCAGUGCCCACACAUUGGCUAGAACAGACCCUACUCAUGAUUUGCAAAAUAGCUUCUUAAUGGGCGACCUAAUAUCAAAGCAAAUGGAGCUCUGCCGUCAUCAGAGCUUGGGUAACGGUGGCGGUGAGAGUGAUGGAAAGGCCGGGUGUGCCUGCUGGGGCUGGGCGCCGAGCAGCUGCAGACGCGUCCGCCCCGCCCAGCACCGCCCCAGGCCCCGC